CAGAUGGUCUGGGUCGAAUUGAAUUAAAUAAUAGCGUAGACCGGGUAAGAGAAAAUUAACAAACUAGGAAAUAGAAUUGAAGAAGUGACCUAGAAUGUGACACAGAAGACAGGGAGAUGAAAAAUAUGGAAAAAUGAUUAAGAACAUGGAGGAUAAAACAGAAGAUCUAAUAUGCAUCUAACUCGAGUCCUAAAAGGGAGAAUAGAGGUAAUAUAGGAGAGGCAAUAGGUGAAGAGAUCAUGGUUAAAGGGUUUCCAGAGAUGAUAAAAGAUGUCACUCUGUAGCUGUAGGAAUUAACCUACAUAAGUAGCAGAAUAAAGAAAAUCCAUAUCUAGACAUAUUGUAGUGAAAAUUUAGAACUCCGAAGAUAGACAAGAUCACACAAGCAGCCAGAGACUGUACAAAGGAAUAAUAAAGCAACAACGGAAGACUUUUCAACUGUGACAUAAAUCAGGAAAUAGUUGAACAAUAUCUUUAAACAGGUGAGAAGAAAAUCAUUAUUAACCUAGAAUUGUGUAUCCAGAAAAGCAAGGCAAGGAUGGAAGACAUUUUCAUGCAUACAAAUGUGGUAGUUUCCCCACAAAUAAGUCUUCAUCAGUGAAGCUUCUAAAGAAUUUAAGAACAACAGGAAAAAACAGUGAACAUUUCUGAUAUGAAAAAAGGGAUGGAGAGCAAAAAAAAAGUAAACAAGUUAAAUGUAUAUAAAAUUAAACUAAUUUCUAAUGUGUGGAAUUGAAGUAUAUAGAAUUAACUUAUAUAGGAAGGAUAUCAUUGAGAAUUAAAGGUUUCUAAGGUCCUUGAUUAUUCAGGCAGGGAGGAGGAAUUUGAAGAUAUUGAUUAAUCAUAUAAUUUCUUAAGUUGUUAAGUAUAUAUGAUAAAAUUUCACUUCAAGAGUAACCAUUAGCAGAAAAAGUAUCUAACUUCCAAACAGAAAGAGAAAAGUGGAGUAACAAUAAACAUGACCAGUUAGAAGAAAUGUGCAAUAAAGGAGAUAAAGGCUUAGAAAAAGAAUGAAUGAAUGGAAAUUGCAAAAUAAGUUAUAGUAACAAAUCUAAAUAAAUUAUUCAUUCCCCCAAAUUGGAAAUUAAGUCAACUUUCUAAUAAAAGACAGAGAUUGUCAGAUUUCAGAAAAAAAAAAUCAUUAUGUUAUGUUGUUGAUAAGAAAUACCUAAAAUAUAAGGGCACAAAAGAUUGAAAGUAGAAGUGUUUUUUAAAGAUAUUCAUAGAAAAUAGUAAUAAAAAGAGCAUUCAGCUGUAUUAAUGACAGAAAAAUACAAACUUUAAGGUCAAAUUGUUAUUAGGAAUACAAGUGGUUAAUACCAAAUGAUAAAACUAACUUCAAAACAAUGAAAAACUUGUAUACACCUCAGAAUAACUGAAGCAAAAAAAUUUGUAGAUGUAUAGAGGAAAAAUGACAAAUUCAAUAUCAUAUUGGGUAAGUAAAAAAUGCUUUUCUAUUAUUGUUUGACCUAACCGACUAAAAUUAGUAAAAAUAGAAAAUAUUUGAACAACACAAUUAGCAAGCUUGAUGUAAUGGGUGUAUUAUGGAAAACUGGGCCCCAGUAUUAAAGAGAAAUACACAUGAAACACUUGCACAAGUUGACAAUGUACUAUAUAAAACAAGUCUCAAAUAUUUAAAACAACAUAAUGCUGACCAUAUUCUCUAACCACAAGCAAUUAAGUUAGCAAUCAACAUAAAAAGAUUAAUGAAGUUCUAUAUAUUUGGAAAUUUAAAAUAUCUGAAUAAUUGGGGAAAAGAGGUGAUUCUUCCUUACAGUACAACUCCAAAUUCCAGACAAAAUAUAGAAUAAAUGAUGAAAAUAAAAAAAAUCACUAUUUGGUAAACACCACAGUAAUAAUUUUUGCAGCAAGGAUCAUCAAUGGAUGUUAACGUAAGUGAGCGAUAGUAUGAUAAAAAACAGGAUAUUUGCAUAUUUUCAAAGUAUCAACCUGCAAGAUUCUUAACAAUUACAAAGGGGAAAAGAGUAACUUUACAGUGAAGAAAACUAAGACAUCACCUCCAUUAGUCAAGAUUUUUCGGAGAAACAAAACUGAUAGAAUGUCCCUCUCUCUCUCUUUGUACAUAUAAUAUAUAAAUGCACAUGUACUUAUAUGUAUACAUACAGACAUAUAUAUAUGUAUAUGUGUGUAUAUAAAUAUUUAUACAAUAAAAAUGGAAACUAUGGAAACACGAAGACAAUGGAAUGACAUCAAGUGCUGAAGAAAAAACCUGUCAAAGUAAAAUGCAGUGUUCAGUAAAAAUAUCUUGCAUCAGACAAGAUAAAAAAGAAAAGUAAAUUACUGCUGUUUAUAAGAGAAACAAUUUAAAAGAAAGAACACAAGACAAUUGAAAUUAAAAGGACAUUAGAAGUAGAAAAGAAUAUAAACAUAAAAACAUUAACAAAAGCAAGUGUAGCUAUACCAGUGCCAGGCAAAAUUGGCUUUAAGGAGUGCAGCAUUACUAAAGAUAAUGAGAUACAUUUUAUAAUGGCAAAAAGAUCACUUCUAAAGGAAGGUAUAACAAUCCUAAAUAUGUAUGCAUCUAACACAUUUUCAAGGCAAAAGUCAGACUAAAAGAAGAAAACAGGAAUUCACAGAGAAAUAGUUGUAGGAUUCCAUAUAUUCGCCUUAGUGAAUUAUAGAACGAACAGACAACAAAAUUAGUUAAGUAGAAAAAAGAUUUAAACAACAUUAGUAAUCAACUUAACUGACACAUAAAGAUUACUAUCCACAACCAUAAUAAAGCACACAUUUUUUUUUUUUUUUUUUUUUUUUUUGAGCCAGAACCUCGCUCUGUCGCCCAGGCUGGAGUGCAGUGGCACGAUCUCGGCUCACUGCAAGCUCCGCCUCCUGGGUUCACACCAUUCUCCUGCCUCAGCCUGCCGAGUAGCUGGGACCACAGGCGCCCGCCACCAUGCCCGGAUAAUUUUUUUUUGUAUUUUUAGUAGAGACAGGGUUUCACCAUGUUAGCCAGGAUGGUCUUGAUCUCCUGACCUCGUGAUCUGCCCGCCUCGGCCUCCUAAAGUGCUGGGAUUACAGGCGUGAGCCACUGCGCCCGGCCCAAAGUACACAUUUUUAAGUACACAUGGAAUAUUCAUCAAAAUAGACAUUAUGGACCAUUAAGAAAAGUCUAAAUAAAUUUCAAAAAAGAAUGGAAAUAAUACAGGAUAUUAUUUGCCAGAGUAUUACUGUGAUGUUUGACCACAAUGGAACAGAGUUAAAAAUUAACUAAAACAUUUCUAGAAAAUGCCAAAAUAUUUGGAAAUUAAGCAACAUAUAUCUGAAUAACUCAUGCAUUAAAGAAGAAAUCACAAGGGAAAUGUUAAAAUAUUUUGAAGUGAAUGUUAAUGAAGAUUCAACAUAUCAAAACUUGUGAAAUGUAGCUAAAUCAGAAUUUAGAGAAAAAUUUAUAGCUCCAGAUUCAUGUAUUAGACAAGAAGAAUGAAAAAAAUCACAGAUCUAAACUUCUACCUCAAGAAGCUAGAACAAGUACAGCAAUUAAACCCAAUGACAGGAGGAGGAAAACACUAAUAAAUAUAAAAAUUUCAAGGAUAUGUUAAACAAACAAUUACUACAAGAAACUCCUGUCAAGUUAAACAGAGAGAGAGAGACAGGGAGAACCACUACCAGGAAAGAGAAAAAGAUAUACAAGCUAUCCGUAGACAUUAAAAAGAGACUAAGAAUAUUACAAACAACUUUAUUUCAUUUAGAUGAAAUGGACAAAUUUAUUUAAAAACACAAUUUGCCAAAAUUGACAGAAGUGGAAGUAGAAAAUCUAUUUCUGUGUUUAUUAAAGAUACUGAAUCUAUAAUUAAAAAUAUCUUCACACAGAAAAUUACAGUUUCAAAUGGCUUCAAUUAUUUCAAACACUCAAGGAAGAAAUAAUAUCAACAGUAUACAAACUCUUGUAUAAAAUAGAAAAAGAGGAAACACUUUCUAAUCCAUUAAUGACACUAGCAUAACCUUGAUAUCAAAACCUGAAAAAGUUAAUACAAGCAAGAAAAAUUACAGACCGUGCUAUCUUGUGAAAACAUUUGUAAAAAAUCCUUUAAAAAACAGUGCUCAAAUAUAAUAGAUAGAAAGGAUGAUACUACAUCAUGACUAAGUGGGUUUUUUUCCUACUAAUGCAAGUUUGUAUUGACAUUUGAAAAUCAGUGUGUUGGAGUAAAUUAAAAUGGGGACUGGGCCUGAAGAAUCUCUGAGCAGAUCUCAAAGAGCUCUCUUGCCGUGUUUUUGCCAGGUGAGUAUAAAAUGCGAAGAUGGCCCUGCAAUGUGGAAAAGUGCUCUUAGCAGAAUUUGAACAUGCUGACACCCAAUCUCAGACUUUCUCACCUUCAGAACUGUGAGAAAUAAAUGUCUGCUGUUUGGUAGCCACUCAGUCUAUGGCACUUUGUUAUAGCAGUCCAAAUGGACCAAGACAGUCCACCAAAAUACAUGUUUAGAAAUGUUCAUAACAACUAUAUUCAUAGUAGCCCUAAAAUGAAAGCAACCCAAAAGACCAUCAAUAUUAGAAUUAGUAAUUCUAGUGCAAUGCGAUACUACACAGCAAUGAAAGAAUAACUAUUGACGGGAAUAAACCUUACAAACAUAAUUUUGACUGAAAGAAAAUAUACCACAUGGGCCGGGCAUGGUGGCUCAUGCCUGUAAUCCCAGCACUUUGGGAGGCCAAGGUGGGUGGAUCACCUGAAGUCAGGAGUUCAAGACCAGCCAGGCUAACAUGGUUAAAUCCCGUUUCUACUAAAAAUGCAAAAAAUUUGCCAGGUAUGGUGAUGCGCUCCUGUAAUCCCAGCUACUUGGAAGGCUGAGGCAGGAGAAUCGCUUGAACCUGGGAGGCAGAGGUUGCAGUGAGGUGAGAUCGUGCCAUUGCAUAUACAUAUAUGAGACACAUGAUUCCAUUUGUAUGAAAUUUUGAAACAGGCAGAGCAAAUCUACAUGGAUAGAAGUCAGAAUGAUGAUUACUCUGGAUGGAAAGGUUGACUGGAAGAGACAUGAGUGAGCCUCCAGGAUAAUGGAAGCAUACCACAUUUUGACCUUGGUAGUGGUUUCUCAGGAUUAAAUUUCUGCCAAGAAGUACAUGGUGACAAAGAACAGACACUCCAGAGACAGACCAUUUGGCUUCUAACCUGCCUUUCCCACUUAAUGGAUGCAUGACCUUGGAUCAGUAAUGGAGAGAACUUCAGAAAACAAAAGAUACACAAAUCUGGUAGCAACCUAAGGAUUGUGAGAGACCACACAAAUUUCUCUUUUAGAAUGAGAACUUGGGACAUGCUAAUUAAUUGCUUCAAGAAGACAGUUAGACAUGUUUCAUGGUUGAUAUUCAGAAUCAGAUAUUUAUAAAUCCUGCACAACACGGCUGAUGAUUUACACUUGCAGAAUAAAUCCUACCUGCAGAAGUCUGGGGGCACCAUGCCAUAAACAUUGAUCCUGUCACAGAGCUCCAGUGCAAUUGUCAUUGUGAACCAGCCAGUGCUGAGCCAAGUGUUGGAUAUCUUCCUGGAAAGAACAAUAAUUAAGUCUACAAGCUGGCUAUAUAUUCAUAAGACCUUUGAGACUGAAGGAGCUGGAAUGGAGAAGAGCUGACUGAAUGGCAAAGGGUAAGAAGAGGAAGUGGCUUCCCUGAAGUUAGAGGCUGUUUUCACCUAUGGGCCGUGACAAUGCACUGGCCAUGUGUUCUACACCUAAUCCGGAUUGUUCCUGAGCCACUUUUUUCUCCACUUUUAAGGAGGGUGAAACUUCUAUCAAUCACAAUCUAUUAAAUGACCCUAUUUCUUCAAAAUAUUCACCCAAAAGGAAAGUCCUGAUCAUGAGAUCUGCAAGAUCUGCAAGUUAGAUAUUCUGCACUUUAUGUAUCAUAUGCUACUGUUUCGUUGGGUUUCAAGAAAAGCAUACAUUGAGAAAUACCAUCACACCCUAAAUGUUUUAGGUUUUAAUUUACAGAAAUAGUUUUGUCCUGAAUGGCCAUUUCUGACUUGUUUCUUUUAGCUUGGAGCAGGCUACAGUUUAAGAAUAUUAAGUCAAUAGAGUACUGGCUUCUUUAAGACUGUUUCCUGAAGGCAAGAGGCACAAAGUUUCUGGAAGCAGCAGUGUACUCUGGCAUCCUCCACAUUCAUAAGUGUGAUUCCCCUGAGUAGGGACUACGUGGAUCCUGGCAGAUGGAUGUCUGUGGAAAGAGGUCCACCAGCCACUCCACAAAGCUUUGGCUCCCUCCAUACCAGCCAGGACGACCAGGAAGAAAGACCUGGUGAGAAAAAGCUUCUCAUUGGCCAGAAUUUAGUGAAUUUAGUCAGCAGGAUAUGCCUUGCUGUGAGAUGGGUUCCUAAAGAUCCUGAGUGGCCAAAGGGUAUGACGACUUAGUAUCUAACUUAUCAGCUUAAAAUGAUUUCUCAAGGAGUCCAGAACAAUGUUUAACUAUACUAAAUAGCUAACAUUGCGGCAGUGUUUUAGGAAUACUUAUUUAGCAAUCAACCAUUGAACUAAAAAGAGAAAAGUGUUUUCUGUUGAGACGGUUUCUACUUAUUUCAAAUUUUCCAACAAGUAAAAAAUGAAACUAAAUAACUCGCCUCCUUCUUGAUUCCUUAUAAAAUGUUUUCUUGAUUAAAUAACUCAUUCAAAUGAGUGACAGUCUGUCUUAUCUGUGAGUUGCAAAGGUCAAUGCAUGACUGGGUUUUGUGGCAGCUGGCGAUGAUGAUCAGAAUCCCCAGUGUGAUCUGCUGGCUGGGCUACCCAUGGGGUCUGCUGGGCCUUCCAGGGAGGAAGGCCACAGUGCCAACAGCCAGCUCUUCCUCCUUCCUCCACCAGACCCAUGUCUCCUGCCUGGGCCAGCCCUUGACUGGUCACAAGGUUUCUAGGAUUUAAAAGCUAUCUAGCUCUUCCACACAAAGAAUUUGGGGGCACUGGACUGAAGUCUUUCUUUGAGACUAUUCUCUAAUAAUGAGCUGCUAGCCAAAGAAUGGGUUUAUUACUUUAUAUUCUUUAUUGCAUUUAUCAUAUCACUUUAUUUAAAACAAUUUUUAUGAGAUGGGGUCUUCCUGUGUUGCUCACACUGGAUUUGAACUGGGCUCAAGCCAUCCUCUUGCCUCAGCCUCUCAAGUAGCUGGGAUUAUAGGCAUGCAGCAGUAAGCCUGGCUCUCCUUUAGUUUAAAGAUAAGCAAUUGACUCAGUAACAGUUUUUGUAAGAGGGGUAAAUUACAUCAUAAACGUUUAACAGUACAGGUUUUAGAAUUAAGGAAAUGAGGCAAUUUGAUUAUUAGACCAGUCCAUCCAGCGAUUAGUAGUCACUAUUCUCUUUUCACACGUAAGGUCACUGAGUCUCUAAAAGGUUAAAUAACUUGUCCAGGUCCACACAACUAGAGAGUGACAGAGCCAGAGUUCCAACCCAGAGCUGUACUCUCUAGUGGCCCUUGAUUCUUCAUUGUCCUUUCUUCACCUAGGUUUGUCCAGCUGAUGUCUUUUCACCUCUCUUCUUUACCUUGUGUCACCCCCACCCCCCAGUUCUCCUGACUGCAGCCACAGGGGGCUUUUCUCCAACCCACUGCAUGUUCUCUCACAUCUGAUUCCCUGGACCUCCAGGGAGGUUUCUCUCUCCCACUCCUCAGGUCCUUUACUUUAUCCAAGACUUCUUGCCCUGGGUCUCAGCUUAUGUACAUCUUUUGGAGAAAGCAUUUUCCUUAUCUCCCAGACCAGUAAUUUCUAAAUCUUUCAACCUAUAGUGAAAAAUACAUUUUUACAUCAUGAUUGAGACACACAGUUUUAAUUUCAUUUUCUAAAGUGUGUAAUUCAGUGAU